rnacentral:rRNA from 1 species
GACGAACGCUGGCGGCGUGCUUAACACAUGCAAGUCGAACGGCAAGGCCCUGCUUGCUGGGUGUUAGAGUGGCGAACGGGCGAGUAAGACGUGGGUGAUCUGCCAUUUACUUUGGGAUAAGGCUGGGCAACUGGGUCUUAUCCUUGAUAGGACCAUGCUGCUGGGGGUGUGGUGGUGAGAUCAGUUUCGGUAAGGGAUGAGCUUGCGGCGGAUCAGCUUGUUGGAGGGGUACGGGCCGAACAAGGCGUCGGCGGGUAGCCGGCCAGAGAGGGUGGACGACAACGUUGAGACUGAGAUACGGCCCAGACGCCUACAGGAUGCAGCAGUGGGGAAUAGUGUGCACUAGGCGCAAGCCGGAUGCAGCGACGCCGCUUGGGUGAUAACGCCCUUCGGUUUGGAAACACCAUUCGCCCAUGACGAAGCCCUUGUGGUGACGGUAGUGAUAGAAGAAGCACCGGCCAACUACGUG